UACGUAGGGUGCAAGCGUUUGUCCGGAAUUAUUGGGCGUAAAGCGCGCGCAGGCGGUUCCUUAAGUCUGAUGUGAAAGCCCCCGGCUCAACCGGGGAGGGUCAUUGGAAACUGGGGAACUUGAGUACUGAAGAGGAAAGCGGAAUUCCACGUGUAGCGGUGAAAUGCGUAGAGAUGUGGAGGAACACCAGUGGCGAAGGCGGCUUCUGGUCAGUAACUGACGCUGAGGCGCGAAAGCGUGGGGAGCAAACAGG
rnacentral:rRNA from 1 species